rnacentral:misc_RNA from 1 species
UUAACGUUUAAGUUUUUAUUCAGACAUUACACCAAAACACGAGUUUAAAAAAGGGUCUUCUGGCGGGUAGACUCCAACCGUCGGGCUACUAACCCGACAGUUGGGCGCUUGCGCGCUGCCCCACCGAAGCAACGUGGACAGGUUCACAGUGGAUGUAAAGGAUAGGGGUCGGACUUGAACGUCCGUUUCUCCUAAUGAUCCUUCCGCAGGUUCACCUACGGAAA